UCACCUUUUCUAGGACAUGGUGGGGAGGCUGGGGCGGGGGAAGGGGGACGGCGAGACUCCCGCCGCCGCUGCUGCCGCCGCCACCAGCAAAUCCAAUAUUGGCUGACGGGCGGUGAGGAUGCAGAGGAUGAUAAUCCCGGGAGUCGCCCUGCUGACGGGGUAUAGUGAAUAUGCUGCAUGGUCAAAUUGGUUUGUAUAAGUGGAAACUGACUGUAUGUGAGAACAUCAUUCUGCAGACAUGAUGUUUGGUGGCAUUUGAAUUUCUAAAUAAGAGCUAAGCAAGUUUCCCUGAUUCUUCUGCCUUUAUUUGGAAACCUAUCAUCAGAAACGUCAAACUGGAAGAAAUUGCUCUCAUCCUCUAUCUCCAUGUGGAGACCUUCACCCUCACGAGAUGAGGCCCCUUGAUUUUGGACUUCAGUCUCCAGAACUGUGAGCCAAAUAAACUUCUCUGUUC